GCAGCCUGACCAGCCAUGCCGCGUGCAGGAAGACGGCCCUAUGGGUUGUAAACUGCUUUUAUCAGGGAAUAAACCCCCGCUCGUGAGCGGGGCUGAAGGUACCUGAGGAAUAAGCAUCGGCUAACUCCGUGCCAGCAGCCGCGGUAAUACGGAGGAUGCAAGCGUUAUCCGGAUUCAUUGGGUUUAAAGGGUGCGCAGGCGGAUUGGUAAGUCAGGGGUGAAAUCCCACAGCUCAACUGUGGAACUGCCUUUGAUACUGUCAGUCUAGAGUAUAGUUGAAGUUGGCGGAAUGUGUCAUGUAGCGGUGAAAUGCUUAGAUAUGACACAGAACACCGAUCGCGAAGGCAGCUAGCUAAGCUAUAACUGACGCUCAUGCACGAAAGCGUGGGGAUCAAACAGGAUUAGAUACCCUGGUAGUCCACGCUGUAAACGAUGAUUACUCGAUGUUGGCGAUACACAGUCAGCGUCUGAGCGAAAGCAAUAAGUAAUCCACCUGGGGAGUACGAUCGCAAGAUUGAAACUCAAAGGAAUUGACGGGGGCCCGCACAAGCGGAGGAGCAUGUGGUUUAAUUCGAUGAUACGCGAGGAACCUUACCUGGGCUCGAACGUAAGAUGACUGUAGGUGAAAGCUUACAUCUCUUCGGAGCAU
rnacentral:rRNA from 1 species